CAGGAAGUAGUUUAUAUAGAAUAUCAGCUUUGGGUGUUGAUGGUGGAGGUUAGUCCUUCCUUCUUGA
rnacentral:tRNA from 1 species